rnacentral:rRNA from 1 species
GGAGUAAUGCGUGACCAACCUGCCCCAUGCUCCAGAAUAGCUCUUGGAAACGGGUGGUAAUGCUGGAUGCUCCAACUUGACGCAUGUCUUGUUGGGAAAGUGUUUAGUGGCAUGGGAUGGGAUCGCGUCCUAUCAGCUUGUAGGCGGGGUAAUGGCCCACCUAGGCUUCGACGGGUAGCCGGCCUGAGAGGGCGGACGGCCACAUUGGGACUGAGAUACGGCCCAGACUCCUACGGGAGGCAGCAGUC